CGGGGAGUGGCGCAGUGGUAGCGCACUCGCUUUGGGAGCGAGGGGUCGCAGGUUCAAAUCCUGUCUCCCCGACCA
rnacentral:tRNA from 1 species